UGCCUUUGUGUUGCCCUUUCAUUGAUGUCUUUAUGAACAGGGUGUCAGAUAAGGCAUACAGUGACUCUUGUGGUUGUGACAGAAAUUCAUCAUCAUUGAUCCUUUUCUACACAUUCAACUACAAGCACAAAU
rnacentral:snoRNA from 1 species